rnacentral:rRNA from 1 species
CAGCAGCCGCGGUAAUACAGAGGGUGCAAGCGUUAUCCGGAUUUAUUAGGUUUAAAGGGUGCGUAGGCGGAAACUUAAGUCAGUGGUAAAAGGCAGUAGCUUAACUAUUGUAAUGCCAUUGAAAGUGGGUUUCUUGAGUUCGGUAGAGGUAGGCGGAAUGUGUUGUGUAGCGGUGAAAUGCAUAGAUAUAACACAGAACACCGAUUGCGAAGGCAGCUUACUAUGCCGUUACUGACGCUAAGGCACGAAAGCGUGGGUAUCAAACAGGAUUAGAUACCCUGGUAGUCCACGCUGUAAACGAUGAUUACUCGUUGUUGGCAAUACAUCGUCAGCGACUAAGCGAAAGCAUUAAGUAAUCCACCUGGGGAGUACGUUCGCAAGAAUGAAACUCAAAGGAAUUGACGGGGGCCCGCACAAGCGGAGGAGCAUGUGGUUUAAUUCGAUGAUACGCGAGGAACCUUACCUGGGCUUAAAUGUAGAGUGCAUUAUUUGGAAACAGAUAUUUCCUUCGGGACUCUUUACAAGGUGCUGCAUGGUUGUCGUCAGCUCGUGCCGUGAGAUGUCCGGUUAAGUCCCAUAACGAGCGCAACCCUCAUUGCCAGUUGCCAUCACGUAAAGGUGGGGACUCUGGUGAAACUGCCGGUGUAAACCGCGAGGAAGGUGGGGAUGACGUCAAAUCAGCACGGCCCUUAUGUACAGGGCUACACACGUGUUACAAUGGCCAAUACAAUGGGCAGCCACCUGGCAACAGGGAGCAAAUCCCACAAAAUUGGUCUUAGUUCGGAUCGGAGUCUGCAACUCGACUCCGUGAAGCUGGAUUCGCUAGUAAUCGUACAUCAGCAAUGGUACGGUGAAUACGUUCCCGGGCCUUGUACACACCGACCGUCAAGCCAUGGAAGUUGGGGGCGCCUGAAGUACGUAACCGCAAGGAUCGGACUAGGGUAAGUCUAAUGACUGGGGCUAAGUCGUAACAAGGUAGCCGUA